GUCCAUUUAUAACUAGUCAUAAUGCCAGAGAGUGAAAGACCUUAUUUCACCUGGAUACGUCAAACAAUAGCUUGCACGUUGCUGGUUUACCACAUCAUGUUUUUUCUUCAGGCGAUCGUUGGAUUGGUGCACAUUAAUGAUUGUCGAAUCGACCCCUUCAUCCCCGUCUAUCUGUCUGGUUAUGGAUUCAUAGCCGUGUUCUGGUUGUGGUCUAAGAGGUGGUGUGGUAUCAUCCUUUGGUCUGCAUCCAUCGCCAUUGUCUUUAUGUGGUUCAUUAUGGGUACCAUUCGCAUCUACUCCGCUUAUCAACCUGACUACAACAAGAACACUAAAGACCCCGAUCAUUACUGCGACAAGACGCUCUACCUGUUUGCAUUUUGGACCACCAACCUGGCCUUCGUCCUGUUAGCUGUUCUUGUUUGCUCGUAUUCUUUAGCUGUGUAUUAUCUGAUAGACAUUAAUGAGGAUGAGACUCAAACGCUGCUUGGGGAUAACCAAAAUAAUGCAAUGUUUAUAGUUUAUUUUUUUCAAAGGCAAAUCUCAUUGAGACAUGAAGUCUCAGUUUCAAGAGCAACCUAAACAUGACUGAAUCGAAAUCAUAAUUCAAUUACUUUAACUUAUGUACAGCCAAUUCACAACAAUAGUAAAAACAGCUUAAAAUGCUUUGUAUCAAAAAGACCCCACAAUACUAAAACUCCCUUUUAACUUAAUCACGGGAAUCCCACAAGCAUCCUUGGCUUAUUGCAGCAUAACUAAGGGAAGAUAAGGGUCACCUGAUCCAACUAUAAGAUCAAUCAGAAAAGAUAAGCAUACAAUUGAUCAUAAUUAGUGAUUAAUCAUUAUAAUUAUCUGUGUUUUAUGUACAUUUGGAGCUUAUUGCCCAAUAUUUUAUCUUGGUUAAUACGGCAACAUGAAGCUUUUGCAAUUACCAUGUAAAAUUACAAUAAAUGAUUUAUGUCUAAUCUUUUUCCCCCCUGAUUUAUUUAACCCUCUUUCCUUUGAAAAGUGUAUAUGAUGUAAAUUUUAUGUAUGUUAAUGAAAUCCACGAGUGAGUUGUGUUUUAUUUACUUGUAAAUAAAAGAAAAUAAGAAUAAC
rnacentral:lncRNA from 1 species